rnacentral:rRNA from 1 species
UCNUCNAGAUAGCCAGCANGUCUAGUACAUGCCGUAUUAAGGCGAAACCGCGAAUGGCUCAUUAAAUCAGUUAUGGUUCCUUGGAUCGUACCUUACUACUUGGAUAACUGUGGUAAUUCUAGAGCUAAUACAUGCAGCAGAGCUCCGACCUUCGGGGACGAGCGCUUUUAUUAGACCAAAACCAAUCGGACUCUGUCCGUCUCUUGUGGUGACUCUGAAUAACUUUGGGCUGAUCGCACGGGCCCGUCCCGGCGACGUAUCUUUCAAGUGUCUGCCUUAUCAACUUUCGAUGGUAGGUUACGCGCCUACCAUGGUCGUAACGGGUAACGGGGAAUCAGGGUUCGAUUCCGGAGAGGGAGCCUGAGAAACGGCUACCACAUCCAAGGAAGGCAGCAGGCGCGCAAAUUACCCACUCCCAGAACGGGGAGGUAGUGACGAAAAAUAACAAUACGGGACUCUUUUGAGACCCCGUAAUUGGAAUGAGUACACUCUAAAUCCUUUAACGAGGAUCCAUUGGAGGGCAAGUCUGGUGCCAGCCGCCGCGGUAACUCCAGCUCCAAUAGCGUAUAUUAAAGUUGUUGCGGUUAAAAAGCUCGUAGUUGGAUCUCAGUUCCAGACGGGUGGUCCGCCAACCGGUGGUUACUGCCUGUUCUGAACAGCCAGCCGGUUUCUCUUGAUGAUCUUCACCGGUUGUCUUGGGUGACCGGCAAGUUUACUUUGAAAAAAUUAGAGUGCUCAAAGCAGGCGCGACGCCUGAAUAAUGGUGCAUGGAAUAAUGGAAUAGGACCUCGGUUCUAUUUUGUUGGUUUUCGGAACACGAGGUAAUGAUUAAGAGGGACAGACGGGGGCAUUCGUAUUGCGACGCUAGAGGUGAAAUUCUUGGACCGUCGCAGGACGAACUACUGCGAAGCNUUUUGNCCAGGA